rnacentral:lncRNA from 1 species
GUACAGGUGAACAAAGGCAGAGUAAACUGUCACCCCAGAUGCAGGUACAUCAAGACAAAACCCUGCCACCAGCUCAGUCAUCAAGUGUGGGUCCAGCAGAAGCCCAGCCACAGACUGCUCAGCCUUCAGCUCAGCCCCAGCCCCAAACCCAGCCCCAGUCCCCAGCUCAGCCUGAAGUUCAGACUCAGCCUGAAGUUCAGACCCAAACAACUGUUUCAUCCCAUGUCCCUUCUGAAGCACAACCCACCCACGCACAGUCAUCCAAGCCCCAAGUUGCAGCACAGUCUCAGCCUCAAAGUAAUGUCCAAGGACAGUCUCCUGUUCGUGUCCAAAGUCCAUCACAGACUCGAAUACGUCCAUCAACUCCAUCCCAACUGUCUCCUGGACAACAAUCCCAGGUUCAGACUACAACCUCACAACCGAUUCCAAUUCAACCACAUACAUCUCUUCAGAUACCUUCCCAAGGCCAGCCACAGUCACAACCCCAGGUACAGUCUUCAACUCAAACUCUUUCAUCAGGACAAACUUUAAAUCAAGUUACUGUUUCAUCCCCAUCCCGUCCUCAGCUACAAAUACAGCAGCCACAGCCCCAAGUCAUUGCUGUGCCUCAGCUGCAACAACAAGUCCAGGUUCUCUCUCAGAUCCAGUCACAGGUUGUGGCUCAGAUACAGGCUCAGCAAAGUGGUGUGCCCCAGCAAAUCAAACUCCAGUUACCUAUCCAAAUUCAGCAAAGCAGUGCUGUGCAGACUCACCAGAUUCAGAAUGUGGUUACAGUGCAGGCAGCCAGUGUGCAAGAGCAGUUGCAAAGGGUUCAGCAACUCAGGGAUCAGCAGCAAAAGAAGAAACAGCAACAGAUAGAAAUUAAGCGUGAACACACCCUCCAAGCUUCUAAUCAAAGUGAAAUCAUUCAGAAACAGGUGGUGAUGAAGCAUAAUGCUGUAAUAGAACAUUUAAAACAGAAAAAGAGCAUGACUCCAGCUGAAAGAGAAGAGAAUCAAAGAAUGAUUGUCUGUAACCAGGUGAUGAAGUAUAUUUUGGAUAAGAUAGAUAAAGAAGAAAAACAGGCAGCAAAAAAACGGAAGCGUGAAGAGAGUGUGGAGCAGAAACGUAGCAAGCAGAAUGCCACUAAGCUGUCAGCUCUGCUCUUCAAGCACAAAGAGCAGCUCAGAGCCGAGAUCCUGAAGAAGAGAGCACUCCUGGACAAGGAUCUGCAAAUUGAAGUGCAG